UUUUGAAAUUUCGCGCCGAAGUAGCGUCACGAUUAGGGUGUUGUGGCUCAAAACUUGAGUUCAGUAUUGUACACUUGUAUAAUACCACGUAGUCCAUUAUUAGCGAUAAAGGACUCAUUGGGCCCGAGCAGACGAGAUCAAAAUAGUGUGCGGGAACCUUGAGGCGGCGUCGGCCACCCGACCCGUCUUUCGCUUUUGUGUUUUCUCUUCACCAAGCCUCUCAAGGUACACCGUUGAAGAUUUGCCUCGUGCAUGCCCCUGGUAGUUGGUGCUGAAGAAAUUGUGCAGCUCUUCGAAGAACAUGCAACAAUCAAACAAACAUUGGACACCCAGCCCAUCUUUCUGAAUGCAUUUGUUAUGGACAUUGAAUAAGAACAUGGAGGACUAUGAGAAUGUUGCUGCACUUACAAGUCAAAGGAUUUCCCCCAGUCAAGAGGUAAAAGUGAGUACUGUAAGUGUUUCCUAUUCUUAAUCAGCAAAGAAGUACUUCCUUAUAUCAUGCUGUUUUUCCAGUUAUCCAGUUCCCUAGUUUUGGUUUUAUCAUGUGAACCUUAUUCAAUGCUUGGGUAUCCCACUUUCCUUGCCAAUGGUUCCUCAGUUUAAUGCGUAGAAAAGACUUUAGGUCUGUGGCAGGGAUGGGGAUAGUUCCAUCUUUGUCACUAAAACUCACGGACGUAGCGUUUUCGUCAGCAGCUACGCUGCCUUUUAUACCUUUGAGGCCAGGUACCCAGCAUAAGACAAUGACUUGGUUGCACAUAUAUGUGGGGCACAAUAAGCUUUACAGUAAAUUCAAAACAGAGUUCUUUUGUUUCCGUAGACUAAUUAAGGCUCCCACAACACUUACUGAGUCUGUGAAGACAAUAGCCUUAGCGACAUUUGUGACCCUUAUGCAUUGAAUAGCCGAGAGUAUAGCGUGUGCUUCCACUGUAAAGAUACUGGUGUGUGGAUUUAGUGUCCCAGAUGUUGAAAAUAAGGGUCCGAG